rnacentral:rRNA from 1 species
GACGAACCGUGCGAACGUUGUUCGGAAUCACUGGGCUUAAAGGGCGCGUAGGCGGGCCGCCGCGUCCGGGGUGAAAUCCUCCCGCUCAACGGGAGAACGGCCUCGGAUACGGGCGGCCUGGAGGGGGUAGGGGCAGGCGGAACUGUGGGUGGAGCGGUGAAAUGCGUUGAGAUCCACAGGAACUCCGGUGGCGAAGGCGGCCUGCUGGACCCCAUCUGACGCUGAGGCGCGACAGCGUGGGGAGC